rnacentral:rRNA from 1 species
AUCGAACGCUGGCGGCAUGCCUAAUACAUGCAAGUCGAGCGAGAGGCGGACGGGUGCGUAAUGUAUGGGGACUGCCGGAUCCAUGGGGAUAACUACUGGAAACGGUAGCUAAUAACGCAUACUAUCCGAUAACCCAUAUGGGAUUAGCUAGUAGGUGAGGUAAUGGCUGACCUAGGCAACGAUCCCUAGCCGGACUGAGAGGAUGAUCAGCCACACGGGGACUGGGACACGGCCCAGACUCCUACGGAGGCAGCAGUGGGGAAUAUUGCACAAUGGGCGAAAGCCUGAUGCAGCCAUGCCGCGUGUAUGAAGAAGGCCCUAGGGUUGUAAAGUACUUUCAGUCGGGAGGCGUUACCGACAGAAGAAGCAACGGCUAACUCCGUGCCAGCAGCCGCGGUAAUUC